UACAGAGGAGCCAAGCGUUGUCCGGAUUGACUGGGCGUAAAGCGCACGCAGGCGGACGCGCGCGUGGGGUGUGAAAUCUGGCCGCUUAACGGCCAGGCGCCAUCCCAUACGGCGCGACUGGAGUGAUGCAGAGGUCGAUGGAAUUGCCGGUGUAGUGGUGAAAUGCGCAGAUAUCGAGAGGAACACCAGUGGCGAAGGCGAGUCCCUAGACAACUCCUGACACUGAGGCACGAAAGCUAGGGGAGCAAACAGG
rnacentral:rRNA from 1 species